rnacentral:rRNA from 1 species
GUCAGCAGUCAUAUCACGCUGUAGCCCAGGACUGGUUGCCCACUGAAGCUAAGCAGGGCUGAGCCUGGUCAGUACCGGGAUGGGAGACCUCCUGGGAAAACUAGGUUGCUGCUGGAG